UGCGCUUCCUGAGUCGAGCUGCUGGACACCGGCUUGCCUGGGCAAUUGCCCAUGUUGCUGAGGAGGCAACAGAGCCAAAGCCCUUGGGGCUGAAGAUCCAGCACGGCUGGGGAGGCUUUGGCAUUUCUGCACAAUGCUGCUCAGUCCUGCUUGGGAGCCCGGCCUCAGGUGCAGAAUGAAGCCAAGCAAGCUCGAGGGAAACUGUGUGCUGAAUGCCAGACUGCGUAUUAGAGCUGAUCUUCAUCUCUGCUCGGAAAAGCUUCACGGGCCAAAGGAGAAUGGAGAUGAGGAAGGCAAUGGAGAAUGAUGAGGACUAUUUGCAGUCAGCACCCCAACUUCUGCCUUGGCUCUUCCCAUCAAGCCAGAGCAGUUUCUUGGCCUGCGCAACCUGCAGACUGACCUCUUGUGUGUAUCCGUGCUGGACUGAGG